AAUAUGCAAGGGCAAACUUGUGGAAACACAAGGACGCAAAGCUACGAGUCUAAGGUUCUAUCCAGAACUAUGAUAGUCGGGUUACCAUU
rnacentral:ncRNA from 1 species